rnacentral:rRNA from 1 species
UACGAAGGGGGCUAGCGUUGCUCGGAAUUACUGGGCGUAAAGCGCACGUAGGCGGCUUUCUAAGUCGGGGGUGAAAUCCUGGAGCUCAACUCCAGAACUGCCUUCGAUACUGGAGAGCUCGAGUCCGGGAGAGGUGAGUGGAACUGCGAGUGUAGAGGUGAAAUUCGUAGAUAUUCGGAAGAACACCAGUGGCGAAGGCGACAUACUGGUCCGUUACUGACGCUGAGGCUCGAAAGCGUGGGGAGCAAACAGG